UACGGAGGGGGCAAGCGUUGUUCGGAGUCACUGGGCGUAAAGGGCGCGUAGGCGGUGCACCAAGUCAGGCGUGAAAGCCCCGGGCUUAACCUGGGAAUUGCGCUUGAUACUGGUGCGCUAGAGAGCGGGAGAGGAUGGCGGAAUUCCCAGUGUAGAGGUGAAAUUCGUAGAUAUUGGGAAGAACACCGGUGGCGAAGGCGGCCAUCUGGACCGUUUCUGACGCUGAGGCGCGAAAGCGUGGGGAGCAAACAGG
rnacentral:rRNA from 1 species